rnacentral:rRNA from 1 species
GACGAACGCUGGCGGCGUGCUUAACACAUGCAAGUCGAACGAUGAAGCCGGAGCUUGCUCCGGUGGAUUAGUGGCGAACGGGUGAGUAACACGUGAGCAAUCUGCCCUUGACUCUGGGAUAACUGCGGGAAGCUGUAGCUAAUACCGGAUACGACACCUUGGGGCAUCCCAGGGUGUGGAAAGAAUUUCGGUCAAGGAUGAGCUCGCGGCCUAUCAGCUAGUUGGUGAGGUAAUGGCUCACCAAGGCGACGACGGGUAGCCGGCCUGAGAGGGUGGCCGGCCACACUGGAACUGAGACACGGUCCAGACUCCUACGGGAGGCAGCAGUGGGGAAUAUUGCACAAUGGGCGCAAGCCUGAUGCAGCAACGCCGCGUGAGGGAUGACGGCCUUCGGGUUGUAAACCUCUUUUAGUAGGGAAGAAGCGAAAGUGACGGUACCUGCAGAAAAAGCACCGGCUAACUACGUGCCAGCCGCCGCCGUAA